rnacentral:rRNA from 1 species
UCUGGCUCAGGAUGAACGCUAGCGGCAGGCUUAACACAUGCAAGUCGAGGGGCAUCGGGAGUAGCAAUACUGCCGGCGACCGGCGCAAGGGUGCGUAACGCGUGAGCAACAUGCCCGUAUCAGGGGGAUAAUCCAUGGAAACGUGGUCUAAUACCCCAUAGUAAUUAUGUAAGGCAUCUUAUAUAAUUUAAAGCUUUGGUGGAUACGGAUUGGCUCGCGUGACAUUAGCUAGAUGGUAAGGUAACGGCUUACCAUGGCUACGAUGUCUAGGGGUUCUGAGAGGAAGGUCCCCCCACACUGGAACUGAGACACGGUCCAGACUCCUACGGGAGGCAGCAGUGAGGAAUAUUGGACAAUGGAUGGAAAUCUGAUCCAGCCAUGCCGCGUGCAAGGAAGACGGCCCUAUGGGUUGUAAACUGCUUUUGUAUGGGAGCAAUAAGGGCUACGUGUAGUCCGAUGAGAGUACCAUACGAAUAAGCACCGGCUAACUCCGUGCCAGCCGCCGC